rfam:Camelus ferus unplaced genomic scaffold scaffold132, whole genome shotgun sequence.
GGGGGUAUAAUUCAGCAGUAGAGUGCGUGCCUAGAGUGCACAAGGUCCUGGGUUCAAUUCCCAGUACUUCCA